rnacentral:rRNA from 1 species
AUAAGACGGCAAACUGGGGGAGUACGUCCGCAAGUUUGCGACUCAAAUGAAUUGACGGGGGACCGCACAAGCGGUGGAGCAUGUGGUUUAAUUCGAUGCAACGCGAAGAACCUUACCUGGUCUUGACAUCCACAGAACUUUUCAGAGAUGGAUAGGUGCCUUCGGGAACUGUGAGACAGGUGCUGCAUGGCUGUCGUCAGCUCGUGUUGUGAAAUGUUGGGUUAAGUCCCGCAACGAGCGCAACCCUUAUCCUUUGUUGCCAGCGGUCCGGCCGGGAACUCAAAGGAGACUGCCAGUGAUAAACUGGAGGAAGGUGGGGAUGACGUCAAGUCAUCAUGGCCCUUACGACCAGGGCUACACACGUGCUACAAUGGCGCAUACAAAGAGAAGCGACCUCGCGAGAGCAAGCGGACCUCAUAAAGUGCGUCGUAGUCCGGAUUGGAGUCUGCAACUCGACUCCAUGAAGUCGGAAUCGCUAGUAAUCGUGGAUCAGAAUGCCACGGUGAAUACGUUCCCGGGCCUUGUACACACCGCCCGUCACACCAUGGGAGUGGGUUGCAAAAGAAGUAGGUAGCUUAACCUUCGGAGGACGCUACCCUUAC